AUUUGGAGAGAACUUUAUUUUCAAAGACACUUGGCCUCUUCAGGAACUAUACAGAUGUUUCUACUCUUUACAGAAUAACCUACAGCAGCUGUGCAUUUUAACACUCCAUGGGGAAAAAUAUAACAGAAAAUACAGUGAAUAUGGAAUUCACACUGGUCAUUUAGAUUGCCAUACUGCCUGAAGCUUUGGGGACUCUUGGCUAUAUUAAAGCUUUAUGUCUGCCUUUUGGAACACAAAAAUAAAUAUUUUCUUUAGCUAGAAUAAUUUCAAAGAUGAUAUAAAGUACCAGAGACUGUAAGUACCAGAAAAUUCCUAGUAACACCACUUUCCAGAAGUUGCACUUUUGAAAUAAACUAUUCUUUUUUCUAAACAUUUAACUUCAGUUAACAUCAAAAGAGAAACAAUAUUUAUAAAUUUAUUAAUUAAAACUCUAUAAAAUCUAAUCUCUCUUUAGCUCUAAGACUAUUUUCCUGAGAACUGGAAUUCUGUGCAGUGCUAAGUUCUUAUUGAGAGAGAAAAUUGCUGUGAAACCUAAAC
rnacentral:lncRNA from 1 species